rnacentral:rRNA from 1 species
CAAUAGCGUAUAUUAAAGUUGUUGCAGUUAAAAAGCUCGUAGUUGGAUUUCGGGGCGGCCUGGCCGGUCCGUCGCGAGACGAGUACUGGUCAGCCUCCCUUCCUCUCGAAAGCCCCGACUGCUCUUCACUGCAGUGGUCGGGUAGUUCGGGACGUUUACUUUGAAAAAUUAGAGUGUUCAAGGCAGGCUUUCGCCUGAAUACAUUAGCAUGGAAUAAUGGAAAAGGACCUCGGUCCUAUUUUGUUGGUUUCUGGGGCCGAAGUAAUGAUUAAGAGGGACAGUUGGGGGGCAUUCGUAUUUAAUUGUCAGAGGUGAAAUUCUCGGAUUUAUGAAAGACGAACGACUGCGAAAGCAUUUGCCAAGGAUGUUUUCAUUAAUCAAGAACGAAAGUUAGGGGUUCGAAGACGAUCAGAUACCGU